GCAGUCAUAUGAAAGUACUACUAAAUGAUGCAAAAUUUAAUAUACUAGAAACUAAUUAAUUAGAAUAUAUAUGUAGAUGCUAUGAUAAAGAAACGUGCCGUACAAGUACUUUUUGUAGCCGCUCUAUGUCUCUCUCUCUACAAGAUUCAUGAUAUAUAAAACAAAUGAUUGCAUAUUUUACAUGUAGAAGAAUUACAGAAGAAGAGUCAUCGACCGUUGAAUGUUAUUCUUUAAGACAGUAGAAAUGGCUAACCUCCGUGUCCGUUAUUACCUGUGUACUUAUUUAAAUAAUUUUCAUAGGUAAAUAACAUCCUAAUUAGCGGCACUAAAGAACAUAGAAACUUAACGAAGCGAAUAGUCGACCAUACAAAAUAAUCAAUAUUAUGAUUAUUGCAGCUCCUUAUCAAACAAUGAGAACAUCGUGGUAGAGCAGAACGAGAAAACCACGGACACUAUCGAAGUGUAAAGAGCUCUCGAAGACAGAAGAGGUAGAAGUAUGGAACGAGACGAAAGAGGGAAGAGCAAUACAGGGGAAGUGCAAGGAGCAACAAGAAGAUGCGUUUGAAGAGCAAGCGGCCGAAACAGAAGAGGGGUGAGGAAGGAGGCGCGGGUGUUAGGGGAGAGUUGUUCGGUGUGCUGCCACACUCAGAAUGGAGUCGAGUGCCAGAGAGUCGGUUGUCCGUGUAUUUCAGGCGGCACGGGCCACUGCACUACCCCUACUACUUGUCGUACGUGCUAUGUAUAUCGUACCUUUCAUAUAAUGCACGCACCCGGAGACAUGUUUUGUGGGACCCAAUGGAUAAAUGCUCUGGCUUCUAGGCGCCGACACUCUGUUCUGGAAUACUCCACAGACACUAACGUAUGCCCUCGGAAUCCGCUUUUGAGCUUGCUAUAAGGAACAAAGAAAAGGAAAAAGGAAGAAAGAUGGAGGGAACGAAUGCCGUGCUACACCGUAAAACUAUUUCCAGCGAAGCGCCGAUCAUGAUAACUGAUAAGGUUUGGGGAAUGCAGCGGGAGAAGAAAACGACACCGAUCUAGGAUCUACUUUUCUGUUAUAUAUACGUCAACUGUUGGUAGUUGUUACUCGCGAAGGCACCAUUAACCCUUUCAGUGGACGCAAUAGAGUGGUUACAUUUCCGGAAUGCCGAGGCUGUCUAUCUUACCACGGAAUUAUUCCCGAAUUACUUUCACAAUUUAUAUACAUAAUAAUUCUAAUAACAACCUCGUUCCUCUCUCUUCGCUAAUAAAAAAGGAAUGCGAUAUAAUUAGGAUCAAUUUUCAAUUAUUCAUUUUAUAUAAAACAAUAUCUAAUCUUGGGAACAAGUUGCAACAGUGUGCACCUUAAUUGACGUCAUUCUGAGCAUACGCACAUGAGCAGAGUCAGCCUCGAAUUAUAAGAUAGAUAAUAAAUGUUAUAAACACAAUUCAGGAUUCAAAUUGAGUAAUUUAAUUAACGAAGAACCGGUGGCUGUAUUCUGUUAAUGAUUUCACGAAUGCUUCAGGUCUGAAUCAUCCGAGCUCGUUCGUAGGUCGAUCAGAGUGUGAACGCGCGACGAUAAAUGCAGGCCAAUCGCGGUUGAAAUUGAGCGAUUCAAUUAAUGAGAAGCUGUGGAAAGAGCAGGAGCAAGGUCUACGAAGAAAAAGCUAACCGGACGGCGGAAGGAAUAAAUAGCACGGCAAGGAAAGCAAAACGAAGCGAUAGAACGCCUGCCAGAUGUACAAAUCAAACGCGCGAUCGGGAAUUCUUCGUAAUUUCUUGCAAACGCGAAGCCAGUUUCGUGACUCGAAAAUUACUCAGACGACGUUGCUUCAUGCUCUCUUCCCUGAAAUUAAACGCGCCUCGCACGUCAUUAACGUUCUCUUGCAUAAUCAGAAUUAAUUAUCGAUUAUUUGCCAAUUUUAAGCCAAAAUCUUGUCUUUAAUUAUAACAUCUGCUCUACGGUAAUCGAAAUGCACUAUUUUAUAUGAUAAAUAAUCUGUAUUUAAAAAGUUUAUUAAGUGUCUUUUGAACUUAGAAGUUGUACAAUGCCUUCUGUAAAGUAAUCUAUCCUAACCUCAAUCAACUCUUCCACUCUCUGGAGUUGUGCAUAAGUAACGCUAUACUUUAAAAUAUUAUUAGCCAGUAAAACAAUAAAUGUAUAUAUUUAGGGUAAAACUGACGCCAAUUUUAGCGCAUUAUAUAUUCUUUGUAAGAAGAUCAGAAGAGAAGUAUUUCUGUUGAUACAUUAGUAAAAGGAUUACCAACGUCCACUGGGACUUCAAUUACCAACAUCUUAAUUUCAAUCAUUAAUUACAAUCUAAACUAUCAAAAACAAGAUUCGAACUUUAUUAUGUGUACCGUAAAAAGGCACCUUGCCACGCCUUUAAAAUAAUACACAAGAACAAAAGAAAAGUAGGUUAGAAAGUAUGAAACGUAAAAUGUCUGCAUGCGUCAGAACUGACCUAACCUCCAACGCUUGAAGAUUAAUAACAUCUCACUGGAACUUCAAUUUUAUCAAUGUCUUCAUUUCAAUUAAUUUCAAUAAAUUACAAUUCCAGAACUAUUAAAAUCAAGAUUGUAGCGUUUCCAUGUUUAGCAUAAAGAUACCGCAACCCCUGUAGAGGGUCCCCGUCGGGAUUCAAUCGUGUGUGCCAUCACGUCGUGUACGUGCGCAGCGAAAAAUUCAAAGACGCGGCACUCGGUCAUUCACGCGACGGCACCACGACCGAGUCGAGGCAGAAAAGGAACGCGUCACGCAGGAGGCGGGAAAUAGAGAAGUCACGAGCAGACAGAGAAAGAAGAGAGAGGCAGAGGCGCAGUUAGAAAGAGAUGUCCCGACGACUCUUGGCCUCCCAGAUGCGUAAAAGCGGGGCGCCGACUCGGGAUUCCUCAUAAUUUCUUCCCCGUUGGGACGCAAACCGGCCUCGUCACUCAUCGCGCUUUAAAGUCACUGUUAAUACAUACUCGCCUUCUCCUUUCCUCCGCGCACAUCUGUCGCGCCACAGUUAAAUAACUCGAAUGAUCGCGAAGGAUUUAGCCGUCACGCGUUCCUCUCUCUUUAUAGCGACUGUAAGAGCGCGCGCGCGCACGCACACACACGAGAGACCACGAGUCAAGCGAACCAGGCGCGAUGCAUCGUCGCUGUGUGCAAAAAGUCGGAAAGACGAACGGAUCGUUACUUCUCCUUUCCCCUUCUAUGUUUUGUUUGCAGUGUUGGGACCGAUAUACUCCAUCGAUACGUAUCGAUACCAACUUACGAACAAAAUUGUUGACUCCGAUCCUUUUGACUAAUUUUGAACAUUAAAUGGAAUGAACUGAAAAGACAUCGAAUUUCUUAAG